rnacentral:rRNA from 1 species
UAGGGAAUCUUCCACAAUGGGCGCAAGCCUGAUGGAGCAACGCCGCGUGUGUGAUGAAGGCUUUCGGGUCGUAAAGCACUGUUGUAUGGGAAGAACAGCUAGAAUAGGAAAUGAUUUUAGUUUGACGGUACCAUACCAGAAAGGGACGGCUAAAUACGUGCCAA